GUCUAUGGCCAUACCACCCUGAACACGCCCGAUCUCGUCUGAUCUCAGAAGCUAAGCAGGGUCGGGCCUGGUUAGUACUUGGAUGGGAGACCAAAUAUGAGGUGUUUUAUGUU
rnacentral:rRNA from 1 species